GACGAACGCUGGCGGCGUGCUUAACACAUGCAAGUCGAACGAAGCUUGAUUACGGAUUCUUCGGAUGAAGUAUGAUAUGACUGAGUGGCGGACGGGUGAGUAACGCGUGAGUAACCUGCCCUUCAGAGGGGGAUAGCGUUUGGAAACGAACGGUAAUACCGCAUAAUGUAUUUUGACCGCAUGAUCGAAAUACCAAAGAUUUAUCGCUGAAGGAUGGACUCGCGUCUGAUUAGGUAGUUGGUGGGGUAACGGCCUACCAAGCCGACGAUCAGUAGCCGGACUGAGAGGUUGAUCGGCCACAUUGGGACUGAGACACGGCCCAGACUCCUACGGGAGGCAGCAGUGGGGAAUAUUGCACAAUGGGCGCAAGCCUGAUGCAGCAACGCCGCGUGAAGGAAGACGGUUUUCGGAUUGUAAACUUCUGUUAUUAGGGAAGAAUAAUGACGGUAGCUAAGGAGCAAGCCACGGCUAACUACGUG
rnacentral:rRNA from 1 species